UGGCCAUGUUCAGCAUCUUUAAGCAUAAUUUACAAAUGGCAAAGUUAAGAACUGCUGUGUAUUCAAAAAGCAGUUUAGAAUGACAGUUGUUUUUCUUAAAGGGAGAAACUCUGGGGGUGAGCGAAGGCCUCUAUCCCAAUCCAGAAGACUCUCUGAACGAACUCUUUCCUUGGAGGAAAAUGGGAUCGGAUCCAACAUUAAAACCACCAGCAUGACUAUAAACACCUUUUACAAGCAGGAGGGAGAUCGCCUUAGUGAUGAAGACUUAUUCAAGUUUUUAGCCGAUUACAAGAGAUCUUCAUCCUUACAGAGAAGAGUCAAGUCAAUCCCAGGUGUGCAGAGCUCGUCUCGCUCAUCUUGAGCUGUGCUCAAACCGCUUGUGAUCAGACACAUU
rnacentral:lncRNA from 1 species